rnacentral:lncRNA from 1 species
AUCUGGGUGUGUGAAGGUUUAUUAUUCUUUUCCAUGAGGAAACAGCCACUCAGGUCCUCUAUGAAAAAAUCUAUUGGCCAUCAGCUAAAAAUGUUACCUAGAUUUUUAUAGAUCCUGAAGGAAAAGUGGGGAAAAAUGAUUAGGGGUAAGAUAAAAUCUGUUCUUGGAAGAAAGAGCUCUUUUUUAUAUUUAAAAUGUAUAGCAAUUUCUAAAGUGGAUAGACACAUUUCUAGUCACAUAAUGUUUAUCCCUAUUUAUGUGAUGUUAUUACUUUGAGUUAAUAGUACUCACAUUUUAGCAAUAGUAGGUUUCUAGAAAACAGCUCCACAGAACCCCCUCCAUUAGAAGAUUUGGUUCUGAAGUGCUCAUCUUCCUUGGGGCAUCAAUAAAGAUAGGCUGGGUUAUGUUGUAGAAACAAACUCCAAAUCUCAAAAUUUAGCAUAUGCAAUUUGACUCUUCUCUUGCAGGCACAGAGCCAUCUAUGGGACCAGGAGCUCCCUAGGGCAGCUCCCCUCCAAACAAUGACUUGAGGAUCAGAAAGAAAGAAAGAAAGAAAGAAAGAAAGAAAGAAAGAAAGAAAGAAAGAAAGAAAGAAAGAAAGAGAAAGAAACAGUUCUACCAUUUGGGACUGCAGUCACAUGACAGAAGGAGAAAGAGCUUGAAAAACCCCAUACUCUGGCUCUUAAAUGCUUCAAUCCAGAGCUGACACGCCAUUUCUGUAGCCCACUGGCCAAAAGUAGCCUACACCGAGACUGGGAUAUGCAGGAAAGCAUAUGCAACAUUUGACAAAUUCUAUGGUCUAUGCUUCAGUAUACAUGCCACUUGGAAGUCUCAUCAAUGAAAAGUCCAGACAAUACCCAGCUCUCUUUUUUUCCUGACCAAGCUACCCUAGAAACCAAGAAUUUUCAAUGGUUGGAGCUACAAGACAGAAAGAGCCUGAAUAUCUGUGGUAUCCCUGGGAAGGACUUGACUCUAGUGAGCUACCAAAUUAUAUCUGACUUGGGUGAACAAGAAAUCAACUUUUAUAUAUUAAGCUGUCACGCAGGGUGGAUGAGCUUGCAUUUCAUCAGAAACAAUUCCAAGCAAGAAAGCAUCAAGGACAAUGACUACCUAUGGCACGGCUCUGAUGACAAUCCUUUUAAGGCCUGCUUCAGUGACUCUCUCUUCCCAAUAGAACAUAAUCGCUUCCUUGGCUGAGGAUUUUCCCAAGAUUAAGUCAGUACCAGAGAAAGAAAACUUGUUCUGUAUCUACUGCUAUGUGAUGGGAGAAAGGUAGACAAAUUUUACUUGUUUUAAAAUUUCCUGUCAUCCACAGAUCACUGUAGAGACUACAGAAGCCUUUUUUCAGCUAUGCUAAGGGAGAAAUAAAGCCAAUGAAUUUCAGACUGAAGCUUAUGGAUUUUCAAACUUUCCACAAAAUAAAAGGAGGUGCAGAGGACAAAACCACGGAUUCCAGUCCUGAAAUAAUGUUAUGAACAUUUGUUACUUUGUCUAAGAAGCAUUCCUCCUGAUACUAAGAACAACCCUAUCUUCUUUUGGAUAAAACCAACCAACAAGCUCUAGUAAGGUCUUCCAAUCACAGUACAUCAACUCUUUGUCCACAGUGGACUAUUUUACAUAUAGGCCAUUUAUCCAAGCUAGGCCAAUCAGAACACUUUUCCAGGAUUUUUCUUCCUAAACAGGGAAAACUGUGCUUCUCUGGCAGAGAAGCAUCUGGAAAUGUGAAUGCAAGAAUGUUGGCUGUCAAGUUUCCUCCCAUUGGGAGAAAAACUACUCUGAUUAAUAAAGAGAUAAGAGAAAGAGACAGUAACUUUUAAUAGCAUUCUCAUUCAUACUUCUAAAGGUCUGAGGGCCAGAUCUAUGCUUGAGUUACAAAGACACCCUAGCAUCUUUCUCAUACACUUUCCUCUUUCUGACCAAACUUGCUAGAGUUCAGCUUCUGCACUAGCAAUCCUAACUAAUCCCCAAACACAAAUUGACAAUAUUAGUUAUUAAUAUAAUGAAUAUAGGAGACAUUAUUAUAUAUUAAGAGGUUAUUUUUAUAUUAAGGAGAGGUUAAUUAAAUAGUAAAAUAAUACAAAAUGGUUGAAAAGCUUCCCUUGUUCCUAAUGAUAUUUUUCCCUCAAUGAGUUGAUGAAGAUCCUGCAAUGCUUACCUUGCCAAGAUCUUCCCUCUUUCCCUGGAACCCUCCUCCCUAGUAAACCCUACUCACCAUUACCUGGCUCAGUGCAAGAGCUCAGUAAGUGUUAGUAAUUCCUUAUUACUAUCUAUCUGGCCCUUUACAUAGAAUUUGAACAGUCUGGCCUCUUGCCCCUAGUACUGAGAGCUACUACAGCUGGCUUUAGUUAAUUUGUCUUCUGAUCCUCCUCUUAUAUUGCUACUGCUUUUAUUUAUUUUUUUAAGCUUUUAUUUAUUUGAGAGAGAGCGAGAGAGCAGGGGGAAGGACAGAGGGAGAGGGAGAAGUGGACUCCCCGCUGAGCAGGGAGCCCGAUGUGGGGCUCCAUCCGAGGACCCUGGAUCAUGACCUGAGCUGAAAAUAGACGUUCAACCAACUGAGGCCUUAGAGUUUCGCCCUUAGAUAGAAUACUGACAAUGGUUUGUUUCCUUUUCUUACCACCUUUUUGUCACCUACAUUAUUGGGGAAUAGAUGCUAUUUCUUCACAGCAAGUCCACAAGGGGCAGAGAAUUGAAUUUUGAUGCCUUCAGAGGUUUAACUAUAAUUGCCUUAUCAAGCCUCUCGAUUGGGUUUUUUUUUUU